UCGUACCACGGAGGCGCGAGGGCUGUCGCUGACCUUUUCGAAGGUCGUGCACGUCCGAGCCCUCUCACAAUCCAUCUCACCCUUUGUGCAUCGCCGCGUGGGUCCCCCUUUUCGGGAGGGCUCGCGUUUUCACACAAACCCCCUUUUAAAAAGUGUAGAAUGACCUCAUUUUUUGCGAUUACACGCAAUCAAUA
rnacentral:misc_RNA from 1 species